rnacentral:rRNA from 1 species
AGAUUGAACGCUGGCGGCAUGCCUUACACAUGCAAGUCGAACGGCAGCACGGGAGCAAUCCUGGUGGCGAGUGGCGAACGGGUGAGUAAUAUAUCGGAACGUGCCCAGUCGUGGGGGAUAACGCAGCGAAAGCUGUGCUAAUACCGCAUACGAUCUAUGGAUGAAAGCGGGGGAUCGCAAGACCUCGCGCGAUUGGAGCGGCCGAUAUCAGAUUAGCUAGUUGGUGGGGUAAAAGCCUACCAAGGCGACGAUCUGUAGCUGGUCUGGAGAGGACGACCAGCCACACUGGAACUGAGACACGGUCCAGACU